UGUCUUCUUCUCCUUUCAGGCUCCGUCACAGCGGCCGGCUCCUGGUCAUGGCAGUUGUGGCAAGAAGACCCAAGCUUCUGGUAACACCAGAGGAGAACCCGCAAAGAACCCACAUGCACACAGCAGAACGUACAAACUCGGCCCUCUGUCGACCUGGGAUCUGAACCGCUGACCUCCUUGCUGUGAGGCAACAAUGCUAGCCACUGUAUCGCCAUGUUCCCCUUCACAGUAUAAAUAUAAAAUAAAGAUUGAUUUGAUUUUUGUAUUAAUCACACAAACAAAGUUAUGAUUAUGAAGUUAAUUCUGUGCCUGGUACUUGCUCCUUUGAUGCAGUCACUGUUAGAUUCAGUCAUAAUGUGACAGUUAUUGUGGACAUGAAGCGCUUGUUGCUCAGAGGAAACACAGUCAGGACCAACCAGCAAGUGCUUGUUAACAAUGAGCAUAUUUUGGCAAUUAUCUGUGGAAAAAAACACACUGAGGUGCCUUUCAUUGCAGACCGGUCUGAAUAAUAGACCGCAUCAUUUCCAGUCUGAAUACCGUCAUAGAAACAUGCUGUCCUUGCCAGUUAUCCUCAGCCUAAUAAUUGGAGAGCUGGUGUGUGUGUGUGUGUGUGUGUGUUGGUAUGAAGGCGAGCUGCAUCAGCAGUGCCACUUCUACAUCUGUCUGCUGACACAAGGAGCCUGACACCGUGCUCCAUAUCUCAUCACUGUUGAUGCUGCUGCCUGAAAUUAGAUGUUAUAUAGUUGUAUUUAAUUGUCAAACAUUAAAUAACAUUAAAAAUGUU